AGAAGUAGGAAGGCUCUCCCCCCAGUGGCCUGGAGAGACUAUGAACCGGCGACCGGUGGAGAAGACAGCUAAAGUCCAUGGAAGAAGAAGCAGAGUGGGUUUGAGAAGGUGGCACAGAAGCUGCCACACAAGUCUGCCUUCAAGGAGUCAAAGAUGUGGCGAAGAGUUCAACUGCAAAUCAAGAGGAGGGAGCAGUGCUAAGUCUCUCUGCUGUGGCACAACAAUGUGGCCCUGCCAGUGGACUUGGGGUAGCAUGUGUCCUCAUGCCCCAGGGACUCAAACUCUUUGAGGUCACCGAGACACCUGAUCUUUAAAGGGGGGGGCUAAGUGGCAUUUCACCACUGGCUCACACUGCCUUGGGAGUACAGGAAGCAAGGCCAUGCAAAGCAGUUUCACACUGAGGCUCUCAGAAGGUGCUUUAUGCACAGUAGGAGAGAUAUUUCUUGCAAAUAAGUUGUUGUUGUUGUUAGCUGAAUGAUGUGCUGAUGUGUUAUUUGUGUGAUAUUGUGUUGGGCUAUGGUGUUCUGCCCACUGUAAAGUGAAGAUGUAUAUUCAGAAGUGACCUGCCUUCCUAACAGUGUCAGCUAGCACUAGGGGGUUGUUGUCCCCUGCUGCCUGUUUAAAUAAAGAGCAUUUGCUUGUAAAGUGCAAUGUUUGGCCAAGA